AUUGGUUCUGCCAGACGUUCCAAAAUUUCUAGAGAAGAUUAGCAUGGCCCCUGCGCAAGGAUGAAACGCACAUUCGUGAAGCGUUCCAAAAUGAA
rnacentral:snRNA from 1 species